UACCAGCACCCCGAGUGGUCGGGACGUUUAUUGGGCCUAAAGCAUCCGUAGCCGGUUCUACGAGUCUUCCGUUAAAUCCAACUGCUUAACAGGUGGGCUGCGGAAGAUACUAUAGAGCUAGGAGGCGGGAGAGGCAAGCGGUACUCGAUGGGUAGGGGUAAAAUCCGUUGAUCCAUUGAAGACCACCAGUGGCGAAGGCGGCUUGCCAGAACGCGCUCGACGGUGAGGGAUGAAAGCUGGGGGGGCAAACCGG
rnacentral:rRNA from 1 species